rnacentral:rRNA from 1 species
AACGAACGCUGGCGGCAUGCCUAACACAUGCAAGUCGAACGAGACCUUCGGGUCUAGUGGCGCACGGGUGCGUAACGCGUGGGAACCUGCCCUUAGGUUCGGAAUAACUCCCCGAAAGGGGUGCUAAUACCGGAUAAUGUCUUCGGACCAAAGAUUUAUCGCCUUUGGAUGGGCCCGCGUUGGAUUAGCUAGUUGGUAGGGUAAAAGCCUACCAAGGCGACGAUCCAUAGCUGGUCUGAGAGGAUGAUCAGCCACACUGGGACUGAGACACGGCCCAGACUCCUACGGGAGGCAGCAGUGGGGAAUAUUGGACAAUGGGCGAAAGACUGAUCCAGCAAGGCCGCGUGAGUGAUGAAGGCCUUAGGGUUGUAAAGCUCUUUUACCCGGGAUGAUAAUGACAGUACCGGGAGAAUAAGCUCCGGCUAACUCCGUG